rnacentral:rRNA from 1 species
AACGAACGCUGGCGGCAGGCCUAACACAUGCAAGUCGAGCGAGGUAGCAAUACCUAGCGGCGGACGGGUGAGUAACGCGUGGGAACGUGCCCCUUGGUACGGAAUAGCCCCGGGAAACUGGGAGUAAUACCGUAUGAGCUCUACGGAGGAAAGAUUUAUCGCCAAGGGAUCGGCCCGCGUUGGAUUAGGUAGUUGGUGGGGUAAUGGCCUACCAAGCCGACGAUCCAUAGCUGGUUUGAGAGGAUGAUCAGCCACACUGGGACUGAGACACGGCCCAGACUCCUACGGGAGGCAGCAGUGGGGAAUCUUAGACAAUGGGCGCAAGCCUGAUCUAGCCAUGCCGCGUGAGCGAUGAAGGCCUUAGGGUUGUAAAGCUCUUUUACCAGGGAUGAUAAUGACAGUACCUGGAGAAUAAGCUCCGGCUAACUCCGUGCCAGCCGCCGCAGUAA